rnacentral:lncRNA from 1 species
GAGUGUGGCCCAGACCUUGGACAGCUGUACCCCUCCUCCUUGCACCCGUGGGCGUUUCUGCAGCUGAACAGAUUCCUGACAGGUUGGGGAUGGACUGGGAGCUGUCAGACGGGCCACUCCUGCAGCUCAGGUCAUGCAGUGGAGCGAGGGGCUGGCACUGCUGUUUGUCACCCUGUCCCCACCCUAGGGACAAGGAGAGGCUUUUCAAGCUGAGCCUUCUCUCAACCCAGCGGCAGCCUCAGUUUAGGCUCCUCCUCCCCCAGCGGCCCUUUUGUCCCCAUCCCCAGGCACCAUCAGCAGGCACAGCAGAAGCAGCUGGGGCGCUAGGGUCCCAGGGCUCCCCGUCCCCGUCCUCACCAGGGCUGUGUCCCUGAGGACAAGGAGGGGGCCUGGUAUGCAGAAGGUGCUCAAUAAUUGCUGAAUGGGUGGCUUCUCUGGAAUGGAGCCAUCUGUGGCCCAGAGAGAUGAAAUAGCUUCUCAGAGGUCACACAGCCUGGCCAUGGAGAUCUGCCCCAUCUCACGCAGUGGUCUUGGCCCUACCCCGCCCUCCUUGUCUGGGUGGGAGGUGGGUCCUUGCUGAGGCUGCUCCAUGGGGGUCAGGUGUCCCUGUCACGCAGCGGGGGCUGUCAGGCUCUGUCCAGGUUGGCAGGUGACAGCAGCUGACCCCAGCUGGGGCUCGCAGAGCCCUCACUCCACAGGGCCUCGCUCUGCCUGGCACAUGCUUGGGUCCCGAGCCCGAGCCCUGGCUAAAAGUGACGCCUGCCACCGAGGACAGGGCCAGGACCUCUGCUGAGGUCGGAUGGCCGCAGAGAAGGCACCGGGCCACAGGCGGGCCCGUGACAGCCUCGGCCUGAGAGCGUCCAGGAGCUCCCGGAGCAGAGCCGCCGGCUGGGUGACAGCCGUGGGCGGGAGGAAGGUGUGCCCCUCCCCACUCUGGCCCUGUGGGCACCUUGGCGCUGGCGGGACGCUAGGCCACGCAGGACUACAGAUCGGCGUGGGUGGACCCUGUCCAGUGACGCUGAGCAGCGGGAGGGGGUGGCUGACUGGGCCCUGCUUCCCAGAGCUGUCGCCUGGCCCUGACCUCCCGGCCACCCAGCGGCCGCCCAGAGGAGCCGCGGCCCCGCCCAGCAAUGAGUCGCUCUUGGCUCGCAGCCUCAGUUUUCCCAUCUGUCGUCAUUUGUUUGUUUCUUUGCUUUCUGAGCUGUGCAGUCCAGGCCGGCCACAAACUCACCGAGGAACCGAGGCUGGCCACGAACUCCUGGUGUAUCGAGUUUGUCCUGCGUGGACUCGAACUCCUGGACUCAAGCAACCCUCCCGAGCAGCUGGAAGUGUAGGAGCACGCCACCCUCCAAGCAGCUUUCGGCGUAGAACUGGAAGACAUGAAAAAGUCUAUACUUUCUACGGGAAAUAA